UGGGGAAUUUUGGACAAUGGGCGAAAGCCUGAUCCAGCAAUGCCGCGUGUGUGAAGAAGGCCUUCGGGUUGUAAAGCACUUUUGUCCGGAAAGAAAUGGCUCUGGUUAAUACCUGGGGUCGAUGACGGUACCGGAAGAAUAAGGACCGGCUAACUACGUGCCAGCAGCCGCGGUAAUACGUAGGGUCCAAGCGUUAAUCGGAAUUACUGGGCGUAAAGCGUGCGCAGGCGGUUGUGCAAGACCGAUGUGAAAUCCCCGAGCUUAACUUGGGAAUUGCAUUGGUGACUGCACGGCUAGAGUGUGUCAGAGGGGGGUUAGAAUUCCACGUGUAGCAGUGAAAUGCGUAGAGAUGUGGAGGAAUACCGAUGGCGAAGGCAGCCCCCUGGGAUAACACUGACGCUCAUGCACGAAAGCGUGGGGAGCAAACAGGAUUAGAUACCCUGGUAGUCCACGCCCUAAACGAUGUCAACUAGUUGUUGGGGGAUUCAUUUCCUUAGUAACGUAGCUAACGCGUGAAGUUGACCGCCUGGGGAGUACGGUCGCAAG
rnacentral:rRNA from 1 species